rnacentral:lncRNA from 1 species
UAUUUAAAACAGAACACACAUUAAUACAUGCCAAUAAGAACAUACAUGCAUAAAUGACUGACUUAAAAAGAGAACACAUAAGAAGAAAGUGGUAGACAAAAGACAAAGACACAACCAUACAACAACAGCAACAACAUAUUGAUCUAUGUAAGAGUGGUAAAGAAAUGCAUCAAACAUGAGAAAAGGUAGCUAAUCUAUAAAAGACUCUGAUGAAAAGGUGGGGUGUACUACUACAUAAUUGUUGUUCUUCUUCUUCUUCUUGGUGCCUUUGUUAGCAGCUAUGGAUGGAUCAACAACUCUUUCCCAUAUCAUUUGCUUCACUGAUCUUCUCUUUGGAGGGAUCACACUCCCAUUUUUCUUGGGUUUGUGCAACACAUGUUUUUCCUCAAUACCCUUUGCUUUUAUCUCUGCCUCCAUAUAUGCUUUGUAUCUAUAGUUUCUUCACUUGGUCACAAAAGCCUACUUCACUCUCAUCUCUCAAUGACUCUGCCUCUU